AUUGUGACAUAUCUCUGGAACCAGAACCUUAGUGAUGUGACGCUUCUCUCCUGCUGAAGCCAUGCCCACACAAGGGAAAGUGACUUAUCACUGGGCCCAGCACACAGGUCUUUUCCCACAGGGAGCAUUGUGAAACAUCACUGGGCUCAGCCACCAGGUUAUGUGACUCUUCUGCCUGUGCCCUGCUUCCAGAAAAUAUUGUGACAUUCCUCAUACAGCAUCCAGGUGAUGUGACUCUUCUGCUCAUUUUCUACUUACAGGAGACAUGCCCAAAAAAGGGAUUGUGGCAUAUCUCUGAGCCCAGCACCCAAAUGUUGUGACUCUCCUGCCUGAGCUGUGCCUAGAGAAAAUAUUAUAAUAUGUCACCGGACCCUGCAUGCAAGUGAUCCAAUUCUCCAGUCUGGGCCUUGCCCAUAGAGGAGAUUGAGACAUAUUCCAGGUCAUGCAAAUGGAGGCGGAUUUUGACAUAUCAUAAAGCCAACAUAAUACACAGUCUGCAGGUGGAAUUGGGACUCUCAUGCAUGGAUCCAGUUCAUCAUUGAUACUGUGACUCAUGUACUUGGAUGCAACUCACAGGAGGUGUUGACGCUUUUUACCUGAAGCUGGGACAUGUGUGGAAUUGUGAAUCCUAGCCCUAGAUCUUCCCACAGGUCAUGCAAAUGGAGGGGGAUUGUUACAUAUCAUAGGGCCAACACAAAAAUAAUGUAAAACUCCUGCCUGAGCCAUGCCCAUAGAAGGCAUUGUGACAUAUCACCCGUCACAGCACUCAGGUGGGAUUUUGACAUAUAACUGCACCCAGCACACAGGUGAAGUAUCUCGUAUGCUCAUCCUGCCAAAAGUUAUGAGUGUCACCCUCACACAUGGACAGAGACCUCUGGUUAGGUCUUGAAUCUUGUACAUGGACACAGUCCGCAGUUGGAAUGUCAUAUGUAGAUCCAGCCACAGGUGUGAUGUUGACCUAUUUAUAAAGUUAGCUCACAGGCACAUUGAUAACUCUCAUACCUGGAUCCAGCCAAUAAAAGAUAUGUUGACUAUUA
rnacentral:lncRNA from 1 species